UUCGGAUCCGCCCACUCAGCGCCACGGAGAUAUCUCUCCAAUGGUACAACAAGUGUGUGAGGCAGGAUAGCUGUCAGAUGGUCACUUGGACGGGGCACCCAGAGAAUCGGUUCACCUUCGAUCUGGUCGCUGACGAGCAUGUCAGCCAGGUGAGAUCCAUUUCUCGCUUUGAGUAGUAUGUUAACACUUGUGGUUGCACAUCAG
rnacentral:misc_RNA from 1 species